rnacentral:lncRNA from 1 species
GAAAAAGAGAAAAAAGAGUUAGAAGAAGUGAAGAAAGACGCGAAGGCUGUCGUAAAUAAUGAUGUAAAUAGUGAACCAUACGCCACUAUUGCCACUAGCAGUACAAUAGAUAGUCCUGAUGGCGUUAAAGAUAACAAAUUGGGGCAGUCGGAGUUUUCUCCAAGUCAUACUCCUGUUCUCCCCAGUAGAGCUUCUUCACCAGUAUCGAAAAAAACUGGAGAUGACAAAGAACUCAGCGUAAAUGAAUCAGCAAUCCACUGUUUUAAUAAUACACCUAAAUAAAAAAUGAACCUUCGCUCAGCCCUUAUAAUAGGCUAGAAGACAGUCAGCUGGACACUGCAAAAGGGAAAACGCCUGUAAAAGUUGUGAAGGAAUCUAUCCUGAGCUUGGAUUUACCAGGACUAGAAGUUGUAAGUUCUGAUGAUGAUGGUCCAGUCACUCCUCCAUCAUCAGAAACAAGAAAUCUUGAUCGUUCUGUAACCCUUGGAAGCAAUGCUGGCUAUGCUAAAACUUCAAUGAGCAUGGCUUAUUGUGGAACUGCAAAAUUGAAGCGGCCGAAAAAUAGUUCACAAGAGACGCCCCUCGAGAAAUAUUUAUCCACCCUUCGAAGGGACCAAUAAAGAUUGGGGAGAGAGGUGUGUUGAUGUGUUGAGAUGAUAGCACAAAUUGGUGAAGGAAUGUAUGGUCAAGUGUACAAAGCGAGAGACAGACAAGCAGUUUGUGAAAUUUUUCAUUUUUCCCCUUUAUUGUUUAUGUUGAAGUCAUCUAUUAAUAUCCUCUGAGAAAUGAGGGCAAAAUUAAUCCUAAUUAAGACACCAUCCAUUUUUAUGAAGAAUGAUAGAGUGAUAUUUUUAUUAAAGGGUGGUUAUGGCAAUUUUCUACAUUUGAGAAACAUUUUUUCGAAAGUCUGAAGUGCUGUGCCUCUGAAAUCCAUAUCAAUGACCAAGGAACAAUAUUGCUUAUCAGCAAACUGACAAUUUCACAAGACAAAGAAAGAAACUUAGCCAUUUUUCAAUUUCUGGGUUAGUUUUGCAAUUUCCUUCACAUAUUACCGAUUCCUUACAGCGCUUCCACGCGAAAGUGAAGAAAACUAAGACAUCAGCUUCCGUUUUAUCCUUUAAAAUGCAGCAAAGUCUCUAACUCAUUUUCACCAAAAUUUUCAGUUUUGCGGUAUUGCGGUUCAGUGAUAUCUGAGCACCAAAUGCAGGUAGGACGUAGACAGUGCCAAAGCAAUACAAGAGACUGCUAGAGCAGAAACCACCCGCAGUAAAGCAAAAUCAACCCCUGAAAACUCAACAUUUGAGAAUGUUUAUGCCCUUUUUAUGGCUCAUGCAGUAAAAAGAGAAAGGACUUGGGUUAAUGAAUGGGUCCGAAGAGUUUGUGAAAACGAAAUUAACCCACUUGGAGGCGGCAGGUCCGUGUGCAUUCCCCUUCUUAAUAAUAUCAGACAAUAUCUCUAUCAUAACU